rnacentral:rRNA from 1 species
GAUGAACGCUGGCGGCGUGCCUAAUACAUGCAAGUCGAGCGAACAGACGAGGAGCUUGCUCCUCUGACGUUAGCGGCGGACGGGUGAGUAACACGUGGAUAACCUACCUAUAAGACUGGGAUAACUUCGGGAAACCGGAGCUAAUACCGGAUAAUAUAUUGAACCGCAUGGUUCAAUAGUGAAAGACGGUUUUGCUGUCACUUAUAGAUGGAUCCGCGCCGCAUUAGCUAGUUGGUAAGGUGACGGCUUACCAAGGCAACGAUGCGUAGCCGACCUGAGAGGGUGAUCGGCCACACUGGAACUGAGACACGGUCCAGACUCCUACGGGAGGCAGCAGUAGGGAAUCUUCCGCAAUGGGCGAAAGCCUGACGGAGCAACGCCGCGUGAGUGAUGAAGGUCUUCGGAUCGUAAAACUCUGUUAUUAGGGAAGAACAAAUGUAUAAGUAACUAUGCACGUCUUGACGGUACCUAAUCAGAAAGCCACGGCUAACUACGUG